GACGAACGCUGGCGGCGUGCUUAACACAUGCAAGUUGAACGGAAAGGCCCUGCUUUUGUGGGGUGCUCGAGUGGCGAACGGGUGAGUAACACGUGAGUAACCUGCCCUUGACUUUGGGAUAACUUCAGGAAACUGGGGCUAAUACCGGAUAGGAGCUCCUGCUGCAUGGUGGGGGUUGGAAAGUUUCGGCGGUUGGGGAUGGACUCGCGGCUUAUCAGCUUGUUGGUGGGGUAGUGGCUUACCAAGGCUUUGACGGGUAGCCGGCCUGAGAGGGUGACCGGCCACAUUGGGACUGAGAUACGGCCCAGACUCCUACGGGAGGCAGCAGUGGGGAAUAUUGCACAAUGGGCGGAAGCCUGAUGCAGCAACGCCGCGUGCGGGAUGACGGCCUUCGGGUUGUAAACCGCUUUCGCCUGUGACGAAGCAUGAGUGACGGUAAUGGGUAAAGAAGCACCGGCUAACUACGUG
rnacentral:rRNA from 1 species